rnacentral:pre_miRNA from 1 species
UCUUAUGGAUGAACAAAGAAAGUGGUUGCUUGAAAUGGAAUCUACUCCUGGUGAGGAUGCUGUGAA